CAGCCGUAAACUAUGCGCGUUAGGUGUAUCGGUGACCACGAGUUACCGAGGUGCCGAAGGGAAACCGUGAAACGUGCCGCCUGGAAGUACGGUCGCAAGGCUGAAACUUAAAGGAAUUGGCGGGGAGCACCGACAACAGGUGGAGCCUGCGGUUUAAUUGGACUUCAACGCCGGGAAGCUCACCGGAUAGGACAGCAGAAUGAUUGCCGGGCUGAAGACCCUGCAUGACUAGCUGAGAGGAGGUGCAUGGCGUAGACGUCU
rnacentral:rRNA from 1 species